rnacentral:rRNA from 1 species
GACGAACGCUGGCGGCGUGCUUAACACAUGCAAGUCGAGCGGAGCGGCGAACGGGUGAGUAACGCGUGAGUAACCUGCCCUCCUUUUUGGGAUCAGCUUUGGAAACGGUGUCUCAUAUCGAAUAAAGGGGGGUGGGUUCGCGGCCUAUCAGUUUGUUGGUGGGGUGUUGGCUUACCAUGGCGGUGAGUGGUAGCCGGCCUGAGAGGGUGACCGGCCACAUUGGGACUGAGUGACGGCCCAGACUCGUACGGGAGGCAGCAGUGGGGGAUAGUGCACAAUGGGCGAAAGCCUGAUGCAGCGACGCGGCGUGGGGGAUGAAGGCUUUCGGGUUGUAAACCUCUUUCGCGAUCGAACGGGUAGGUAGAGAAGAAGCGCCGGCUAACUACGUGCCAGCAGCCGCGGUAAUAC